rnacentral:lncRNA from 10 species
GUACAUAGCAGGACUGCCUCUCCUAGCAUCCCUUGCAGCUAGGUGAAGUCAUGUGACUGCAUUCUGGCCAAUGGUGUGUGUGCAUAAAUCUUGCAUAUCCCUUCCAAGCAGACUCCUAAAGCCUCCUUUGAAAUUCUUCAUGCUUUGUUUUUUCCUUUAUCUGUCUCCUGAAUUUUGAGGACCAUCCGAAACCUUUGAAAUCCUAGAAGAUGGCACAGCCACCAGAUGAAAGAAGCCUGAUCCCUAACUAAUGUGUGGAGCUGAGUGGAGGGGAGCAAAAAUGAUGACCCUGGGCUGUGAUGACACUGAACGAGAGGAUGCAGCUGAGCAGGUGAGGUGAAACCUCUUUCUGCUCCACUCACAACGCCGCCUCAGCCCCCGGUUGUAUUAGAAUCUUAAGCCACCAAUUUGCAGAGAUAAAAGUAAAUCUAUUAAUUAGCUAGGACAAUGGGACUGAUGUCUCAUAACGGAGGGCACAGCCACAUUAAUCAGUCAGUACAAGGGUCAGGAGACCUGAGGACCCACACAUAUUUAGCCAUUCAUAUGAUCUUUCUGAAACACAAGUCUGACAGCAGGCCUCCACUGCACCUAAAUAUGUAUUGAUUCCAAUCUUCACUAGCAGAUUAUCUCCAAACUCCCUAGUUUGACAUAAAGCACUCAGCAAUCAGUCCAUAGCCCACCCUUUCAAUCUCAUGGCUCCUUCAACCGUAAGGCUUAUCUCAAGUGUCCCCUCCUCCAGGAAAUCUCCCUGGUUCUAUUCAAUCUACUUUCUUGCACCCACUCAUAACACAUUUCAUUUUGCUGUAGCUAUCUUUUAGCUUGUCUGUCUCCCCCACCUGUGAGCAACCAAAGGAAAACAGUCUGCAUUGUUCUCAUCUUUCUUUUCUUUUACAGUGAUUAGCACCCUACAUGAUAUGUCGUAGGCAUGUAAUAAAAUUUGAGUAAAUUAUGACUGUGCCUUUCCUCACUGUUGGUUUCAGCAACUCCAAAUACCCUGGACCAUUCCUAGAAUAUGCUCUGCAUCCCAUGACCUCAGUGCCAUUCCUGAUUCUCUUCCUUUCACCUGAAAUACCUUCAACCCACACCCCCACACCCCCCACUACACUCUGUUUGAAGAAACUGCAACCAUCUUUUAUUUACUUCACCUAAAAUGCUGCUGGAAAUCUGAAGCCUUCUAUGACUCUCCAAGGCAGAUCUGGAGACCUCCAAGGCAGAACUUGUUGUUCUCAAUCUAGGAUUCCAGUUCUUAUUCUUGGGCUCUGGUUAGCUGAAUGUAUCUGUCUCAUCCAUAGAUUGCAAAUUCCUCCAGGACGAAAACCAGUCCUUACCCAUGUUUCUGUUCUACAUCUGCCAUCUAAGCAGAUGCUUAAUACUCUACGUGGAAUUAAAUAAUAAAGUGACCAGCAGUCACUAAAAAUGAUCUUCAAAUCAAUCUGUCUCCCUGCAGAAAUAUUGCCUGAGCCUCCUCCUCUCCUAACCCCUCACCUAGCAAUGAGACCUUGUUUUGACAGCUCACUUCACUUCUCACACCUGAGCUGCAAGCUUCAAGCAGUGGCUCAGGGAGGAUAGGAAAUGUGGUGAAUGAUGCUUUCUCCACUCAGGAUAGAGGCAGGAUUGGUUUUAAAGUGGUUGCCAUUUGGAGCAGCAGCCUAAGAUCAAUCACUAUCCUUGUUCUUGCCAAGCUGUGAGCAGUUUUUGUUUCCGAUCUGCCUGUCAGGAAAACAUGCUUCUCUUCGUAAACCUGUCUUUGGGCUAAGAUGAUUGAAAGGGAGGUGAGGAGAAAAAUGAAAAAGAAAAAGUAGAAAAACCAAACAAAAAGGUAGGGAAAAAUACAGUCCCCAAAACCUUCAGUUUGAUUGAAAAAACCAAAACAGGAGUUUUGGGUUCAGUUAAGCUUAUUCUUUGCUACUAAACUACCAUGUAAUCUUGGAAAAGUUACUUACUCUGCCUAAACCCCCAUUUCUUUAUCUACAAGGAUGGAUUGAGGACUAAAUGAGAUGAUCCAUGUUUCAAAUAAAAAGCACUGAACAGUGUCUAAGAAGGUGCUCAAUAAGUAUAUAUUUUUGUCAUCGCCAAGUUGCCAGCAGGAAUUACACCAUCAUAUCAUGUUAUAUUUAUGACUUAAGUCAGCUUCCCUGGAGCAGACUGAGAAAAGAUUUGUGUACCAGUAACUAAAUUAUAAAGUGCUCCUCAGAGGAGCCUGUGAGGUAUUGGGGAAGUAGGGUCUGGAAGGAGAAGAAGCCAAACCAGCACAGGAUUUUAGGCAAAGUCUCAGGUUUGGUCUUCACAGGGACACUGGAAUGUCAAUUACAUCUAGAGGAUGUCCCAGCUCUGGAAAAAGGGGCUGCACUUUCAUAUAUUCUCAUCCUUAGUCAUUGGCUAAGGUUACCCUAAAGGGAUACACACUUCAAGGGACUCUGAUUCUUGAAGCCUCAGGUAAAACAGCCCCAGUAACACAAGAGUGGUCUUUGCAAGAAAGCAAGAGCUACUGACCUUCAGGAGCAAAGCACACACAUGCCAACACAUGGGCACCUGGAAAUGGUAAGAGGGGUCUGAGGACAAAUGGAUGCAUCACUGUCUGUGUCCAGGAUGCUUUGAAUGAGGCACUUUUAAAAAAACAGUUUUAUUGAGGUAUAAUUGAUGUAUAAAAACUGCACAUAUUUAAUAUAUACAAUUUUAUGAGUUUGGACAUAUGCAAACACCUGUAAUACCAUCACCAUAAUCAAAGUAAUUUAUGACAAACGCACCUGCCAGCAAUAACUUAAGCAUGCCUUGAGGACAACCCUGUAUCGCAGACACACCUGAAUAUAGUUUUGAGUUCCGAGCUAAGGAAUCCAGGAGAGGCCAACUUGGAGAGUUAUUCCUUAUCUAUGAGGAAAAACUGAGCCCCCGACCAAUCCCACGGAAUGCAGUCCAUAUGGGGGAUCAAGGCCCUUUGUUUUGAGUUACGUGAAGGUUGCCAGGUGGAGGUUGUUAGGGGAAUGGUAUUAAGUUAAAAUGCUGUAUAAACUGCAUGCCUUUUGCUGCCUACCCCGCCACAACUGGACUAUGCAGUUAUCCUGUCCAGCCUGCCACCACUGAACUCUUUCUCCUGGAUAUAAGUCCCCAGAAAAACUCCAUGUCUUGUUUGCAGUCCCUGGGUCUCUUCUUUGGGCUCUUCAGCCUUGUACCAUCCCCACUGGAGUUGACAGGGUUUCAGCACAACAGUAAUAAAUAUACACAUCACCUCCAACAGUUUCCUUGUGUCCUUCUGUGUUGUGGGGGGUAGAGGGGUAUUUUUGUGGUAAGAACAUUUAACAUGAGAUCUACCCUCUUAAAUUUUUAAGUGAACAGUACUGUAUUAACUAUAGGCACUAGUUGUGUAGAAGACCUCUUGAGCUUAUUCAUCAUGUGUAACUGAUAUGAACAAUAUAUACUCAUUGAAUAACUCCUCAUUUCCCUCUCCUCCUAUUCCCUAGCAACCACCAUUCUGUUUACUGCUUCUGUAAUUUGACUAUUUUAGACACCUUAUAUAAGUGAGAUCGGACAUUUGUCCUUCUUUGACUGACUUAUUUCACUUGGCAUAAUGUCUUCCAGGUCCAUCCAUGCUAUUCCAAAUGGUAGGAUAUCCUUUUUAAGGCUGAAUAAUAUUCUAUUGAAUGCAUAUACCCAAUGGACAUUUGGAUUGUUUCCGUAUCUUAUAUAUUGGGAAUAAUGCUGCUAUGAACAUAGAAGUGUAGAGCUCUUUGAGAUUCUGACUGCAGUUAUUGUGGAUAUAUACCCAUAAGAAGGGUUGCUGGAUCAUAUGGUUGUUCCAUUCUUAAUGUUUGUGAAACCUCCCUCCUGUUUUCCACAGCAGCUGCACCAUUUUCCUUUCCCACCAAUAGGGUACAAAGGUUUCAAUUUCUCUGCAGUCUCACCAACAUUUGCUGUCUUUUAUUUUUUUGAUAAUGGCUAUUACAGCAAAUGUGAUAUCUCACUGGUUUUGAUUUGCAUUUCCCUGAUUCUGAGUGAUGUUGAUGGAGCACUUUUCUUAUAACUGUUGGCUAUUUGUAUGCCUUCUUUGGAGAAAUGUCUAUUCAGGUCCUUUGCCCGCUUCUUACCCAGAUUACUCAGGGUUUUUUUUUGCCUUUGAGUUAUAGGAGUUCCUUAUAUAUUUUAGAUAUUAACCCAUUAUCAGAUAUAUGUUUUGCAAACAUUUUCUGCCAUUCCAUAGGUUGCCUUUUUAUGCUGUUGAUUGUUUCCUUUGCUGUGUUAAAAACUUUUUAGUUUGAUGUAGUCCCACUUGUCUAUUUUUGUUUUUGCUACCUGUCCUUUUGAUGCCAUGUCCAAGAAAUUAUUGCCAAGACCAAUGUCAUGAAGCUUUCCUUGAUGUUUUCUUCCCAUAGUUUCAUAGUUUCAGAUCUUACAUUAAAAUUUUGAAUCUAUUUUGAGUUCAUUUUUGUGUAUGGUGUAAGAUAGGGGUCUAAUCUCAUUCUUUUGCAUGUUGAUAGCCAGUUCUUUCAACACCUUUUAUUAACAAGACUAUUCUUUCUUCAUUGUGUAUUCUUGGCACCCUAAGCACUUUUUCCUGCAUUAUGCAGUUGAUCCCCACUACAACUCUGUAUUAGAUAAUAUGAGUAUUAUUAAGCCUGCAUGGCAGACAAGUAAACCGAGGUUCAGAAAAGUAACAUGAUUUUCUCAGUCACCUAGUCAUGCAGAGAUGGAACAUUGGCACCAUUUCCUGAUUCUUUGGUCCUUUUGGGAAAAUCCUGAGCAUUCCAGGGAUCUCACAAUUCUUGGUAGUAACUCCACUAUGAGUUCAUGAAUGCUGUGAAAACACCAUUUGGGGUACAGAUGGUUGUGCAUAAGGCUUAUAAGGAGAUAUCUUUUUUAUUUAUAAGAAUAUUGCCUGUAAUCCCAACACUUUGGGAGGCUAAAGCAGAUAGAACACUUGAACCCAAGAGUUUGAGACCAGCCUAGGCAACAUGGUGAAACCCUGUCUCUACAAAAAAUAGAUAAAUACAAAAAUUAGCUGGGCAUGGUGGCACGUGCCUGCAGUCCCAGCUACUCAGGAGGCAGAGGUGGGAGGACUACCUGAGUCUAGGAAUUUGAGGCUGCAGUGAGCCAUGACUAUGUCACUGCAUUCCAGCCUGGGUGACAAGCUCUUUUAAAAAUGUAUAUGUACACUUCUGUUCAUGUAUGUAUUAGUGUGUAUGUGUCUAUGUAUUAGUCUGUUCUCACACUGCUAAUAAAGAUAUACUUGAGACUGAAUAAUUUAUAAAGAAAAAGAGGUUUGAUGGACUCAGAGUUCCACAUGGCUAGGGAAGACUCACAGUCAUGGAGGAAGGAAAAGGAGAAGCAAAGGCAUAUCUUACAUGGCAGCAAGCAAGAGAAUGUGUGCAAGCAAGAGAAUGUGUGCAGGGGAACUGCUCUUAAUAAAACCAUCAAAUCUCAUGAGACUUAUUCACUAUCACGAGAACAGCACAGAAGAAACCCACCCUCAUGAUUCAGUUACCUCCCACUGGGUCCCUCUCACGACAUGUGGGGAUUAUGGGAGCUAUAAUUCAAGAUGAGAUUUGGGUGAGGACACAGCCAAACCAUAUCAGUCUACAUGUGUGUGUGUUUGUGAAGUCAUAUCCACCAAAGAAGAAAGACCAAAAGGAUGUUAAUUUAAAAUGUUAACCAUAGGUUGAGAGGUUAGAAAGUGACCCGAAGAGGAUGGCCUGUGGUACUUCUAGGGAAGAGCCAUCUGUCAUGGCAAGUGCUAAGAGAACAGAGAAAAUAGUAGAGUGUCUCCAGGGAGCAGUGGACACCCAGUCCUCUAAGCUUCUGAGGUUUUCUGCAUCAUGACUUAACUGACACUGAGUAAAGAAGAGCUCCCAGGGCACCAUCUCGAGAGGGAGCAGCUUUGAGAUGGGCCUGUGAGAAGGGCCCUGAUGUCUGCUCUUUGCCCAUGAUCUCAGAGCUGCUUGACCUUUUGCCACACGUAUGGAAUGGAGGUGGGGGAUUGGUGAGGGAGGGUGACUGUUUUUUUAAUUCCAAGGAAAUCAGUGGAGAAAAAGUCAGCACAGAGUCAUAGUUGAAUGUCUCCAUCCUUCUUUUCUCACAUCCCACUCCUGCCGCCUAGGUAGCUAUUGGGAGGAGGAACAAAAGCACAUUACUCCCAAGAAACCAUAACGCUCCACUGUUGUCCUUUAUUAGUUCCUUACUAGUUUCUACUGAGGAAGAAAGUUAAAUGACCUCACUUAGGGCUUAGAAAGCCAAAUCCAAUUCAGGAGAUAUUCCUAUAUUAAUCAGAUAGUUCCAACACACUUUUAACUUCCUUAAAGUGCUUUCACAUCUAUGAUUUUAUUUGUAGACAGCUCUGCAAGACUGGCCUUGAAAAAAAGAAAAGCCAGCAACAAUCAGUAGUGAGAAUGAAAAGAAGAAAAUGAGCCCAAGCAAGACACUGAACUCUAGACCAGGCUUCUCAACACAGCUGCACAUCAGCACCAGCUGAGGAGGCUUCCAAGGUCCCCACACCCAAGCUGCAGCAAAACCACUUAAAUGAGGAUGAAGUGGGUGAAAUCCAGAUUUCAAUAAUUGUUAAAACCCUCAGAUGAUUCCAGCAUAAAGACAGGUUUGAGAAUCUCUAUGCUAAAGGGAGCUAACUAGUCAAGGCAUCCACAUCUGACAUUUUGUAAGAACCAGAUGAUUAAACCUACCAAGAAGGGGAGAUCUUGAGUUAGUCAUUCACCAAAUAUUUAUUAAGCACUUCCUAAGAACAAGGCACCAUGCUCUGUGCUCGGGGGACCCAAGAUGAAACUCCCCAGGGUCUAUGUUGUCUGUACCCACAGUCUUGGUGGGGAAGAGUGGUAGAUAAAAAAAAUAACUGAGAAUAACUGUGGUCCUUCCUGAAAUGGGAGAUGUUGGGCAGGGGGUACAGACUUGCAGUUAUAAAAUGAAAAAGUUCUGGAGAUCUACUGCACAGCAUGGUGACUGUAGUUAAUUAUAUUAGUCCGUUCUCACACUGCUAUAAGGAACUGCAUGAAAUUGGGUAAUUUAUAAAGGAAAGAGGUUUAAUGGACUCACAGUUCAGCAUGAUGGAGGAGGCAUCAGGAAACUUACAAUCAUGGCAGACGGCAAAGGGGAAGCAAGGCACCUUUUUCACAAGGUGGCAGGAAGGAAAAAUUAACGCGAAAGGAACUACCAAACACUUACAAAACCAUCAGAUCUCCUGAGAACUCCCUCACUAUCAUGAGGACAGCAUGGGGGAAACCGCCCCCAUGAUCCAAUCACCUCCACCUGGUCUCUCUCUCUCGACACGUGUGGAUUAUGGGGAUUAUAAUUCAAGAUAAGAUUUGGGUGGAGACACAAAGCCUAACCAUAUUAAUAAUGUAUUGCAUACUUGAAAUUUGUUCUUACUAUACCUACAAAAAAAGGUAACUGUGAGGUGACUGACAUGUUAAUUCAUUCGAUUGUGGAAGGUAUUUCACAAUGUAUAUCAAAACAUAUACCUUGAAAUUAUAGGAUUUUUAUUUAUCAGUUAUACCCCAAUAAAGCUGAAAAAAGGACAUUGUGUGGGGUAUGGUGAUUCUGGUAUGGGAGAGCAUAUCAGGGAAUGAGGCUUAGGAGUAUGGAGUGUAUGGCAAAUUCUGUUUGUGCGUUUGGACCUAUCAGCCAUGGAGAGGGCACAUGUCUGAGAGUACUGUAAGCAUAGGAAACAUUAGUCCUUACCUUAUCCUCGAGGACCCAUACUGGGAAGGUGAACACACACAUACAUAAUCACACGCUCACAACACAUGCAUGUUCCCACUUAUUGAAAUCAGCCCAAAUGUAAUGCCCAA